UACGGAGGGUGCAAGCGUUAUCCGGAUUUACUGGGUUUAAAGGGUGCGCAGGCGGAUAUGUAAGUCAGUGGUGAAAUCUCCGGGCUUAACCCGGAAACUGCCGUUGAUACUAUAUAUCUUGAAUGCCGUGGAGGUAAGCGGAAUAUGUCAUGUAGCGGUGAAAUGCUUAGAUAUGACAUAGAACACCAAUUGCGAAGGCAGCUCACUACACAAUCAUUGACGCUGAGGCACGAAAGCGUGGGGAUCAAACAGG
rnacentral:rRNA from 1 species